rnacentral:lncRNA from 1 species
AGUGGCUCACGCCUGUAAUCCCAGCAGUGGGAGGCUGAGCCCGUGCACCACCAGCGGGUCCAGCUACAAACCCAGUUGCCAAUACAGCCUAAGGACGAGCCUGCCCACAACUAUUCCAGUUCCAUUUGGCACAGCCAGGGGCAGGGACAGAAGGGCCCUGCAGGACUCCGCCUCCCCACCUCUGCACAGAUCCUCUCUCCUUUCCCCUAAUACUCCCAUCAUCCUCCUUUUAGCUUCUUAGAGGAAUCAGCAGCUCAGCUUAGCUUAGAUUUAGCUGAUCAAUCCCAAAGAAGGAUGUGGCUCAUCCUCUUGGCCAUCCCUGGAGUCGCAGCACACGCUUGGCUGGUGUGGGUCCACAGAGGUUCUCAUGGGUGGGCCCAGCAGAGGGGCCCCUCAGGAGAGGGAUUCUAGGGAGCUAGACUGAGACAAGCCUGGCCCUGACUGUCGCCUCCUGCCUUCUGGUCCUGGCCAUUCCUGCCCCUUUCUCUCUCCAGAGCUUGGGAGGAGUCAGAACAUUGCUCUAGCCGCUGGUGAUCUCUCCUGGUUGCCAACCCUCCUGGCCAUGACUGAUCUCCCCACUGAGAUGCUCAGGAGGCCAACGGUCCUGCUGAUGGCUACGCAGCCAUUGCCCAGGCUGACAGGCUGACCCAGGAGCCUGAGAGCAUCCGCAAGUGGCGAGAGGAGCAGAGGAAACGGCUGCAAGAGCUGGAUGCUGCAUCUAAGGUCACGGAACAGGAAUGGCGGGAGAAGGCCAAGAAGGACCUGGAGGAGUGGAACCAGCGCCAGAGUGAACAAGUAGAGAAGAACAAGAUCAACAACCGGAUCGCUGACAAAGCAUUCUACCAGCAGCCAGAUGCUGAUAUCAUCGGCUACGUGGCAUCCGAGGAGGCUUUCGUGAAGGAAUCCAAGGAGGAGACCCCAGGCACAGAGUGGGAGAAGGUGGCCCAGCUAUGUGACUUCAACCCCAAGAGCAGCAAGCAGUGCAAAGAUGUGUCCCGCCUGCGCUCGGUGCUCAUGUCCCUGAAGCAGACGCCACUGUCCCGCUAGGUGCCUGCUAGGUGCAUGGCCACAGAGCAUGGGCUGGGCCUGGGCACAGGAGGAGCAGCUGCUUUGGUCGGGGUGGAGACUCGCAGCAGCUGCUACCCACAGCCUAUUCCACUCCUCCCCAUCUC